rnacentral:lncRNA from 1 species
GGCAAGCUGAUUGGGCAGCAAUAAAUCUGGAAAAAGACAGGUGGUCAGUGGUGAAAAUCCCAUUGAAAAACUUCGUUUUCCUUCAGUCAACCAGGCCAGCUGUACAAAUUUGCUAUAAUAAAGGAAAGAAACUCUUGUAUGCAGAAGAAAAUUUGAAACCUUCAUUGUAUUUAUUUAGAGAAGGAAACAUCAAGGUAUAAGUAAGAUGCUCAUCAGCCUUACUCGGGGAAGAUAUCAAAUAUUCAGUGAGUCCAGAUUCAUCCAAAAACAAAUACUUUCAUGAAGAAUCCAAUACCUGGCUGGCAGACCUGCGGCACCUAGAAAAAUCCACCCAAGUACCUUCAGGGGGCGCCACUACAAAG